GUGGGGAAUAUUGGACAAUGGGCGAAAGCCUGAUCCAGCCAUGCCGCGUGUGUGAAGAAGGUCUUCGGAUUGUAAAGCACUUUAAGUUGGGAGGAAGGGCAGUAAGUUAAUACCUUGCUGUUUUGACGUUACCGACAGAAUAAGCACCGGCUAACUUCGUGCCAGCAGCCGCGGUAAUACGAAGGGUGCAAGCGUUAAUCGGAAUUACUGGGCGUAAAGCGCGCGUAGGUGGUUUUGUAAGUUGAAGGUGAAAUCCCCGGGCUCAACCUGGGAACUGCCUCCAAAACUACUGAGCUAGAGUACGGUAGAGGGUAGUGGAAUUUCCUGUGUAGCGGUGAAAUGCGUAGAUAUAGGAAGGAACACCAGUGGCGAAGGCGACUACCUGGACUGAUACUGACACUGAGGUGCGAAAGCGUGGGGAGCAAACAGGAUUAGAAACCCUGGUAGUCC
rnacentral:rRNA from 1 species